rnacentral:lncRNA from 1 species
AAGAAUCUCAUGGUGUGCAAUGCUCGACUAAUGGCCUAUACAUCGGAGCUACAGAAAUUAGAAGAACAGAUUGCAAAUCAGACUGGAAGAUGUGAUGUGAAAUUUGAAAGUAAAGAACGAACAGCAUGUAAAGGAAAGAUUGCCAUAUCAGGUCAGAAGUUCCAUGAGGUUUUGGUACCAUGUUUAUUUUGGUCAUCACUUUACACCCAGAAGCUAGCAUGGUGCUUGGCUCAUAGUAAUUGCUCAGUGACUCUUGGAUGGAUGGCUGCUCUUCAUUGCCUGUAGUGUAAAGACCAAACAUUUUUCUCCAGUCUUCCAUUUUGACCCAAUUUUUUUUCUAGUCAUAUCUUCUAUUACUCCUAAACAUAAGCUGUCGCCUUUAGCAGACAUUUCUCUCCUUGUCCUGGCAACAUAACCCAUGCUUCUGACACCCAAUUAGCUUGUGAAAUAACUACAUUCUCUUAAAUAUCUGUUUGUUUAUCUAUAUAUAAUAUAAUCUCUGUUACCGUUCCAACUAGAAAGGAUGUUUCCUUUCUCUCAAUUCCUAAUGCAGUUAGGAGACCCUUCACCACUAGAUGGCACUUAUGCUGUGCAGUCUCAGUUUCUCCAAAGUGUUCAGGAAGCUAAAGACAAUGGCUUGGAGAUGCCACAGAUUGAAAUGAAUACAUGGCUGACUCGUGUGUACACUAGUCAGAUAAUGCACUUUUACAAAUAUUUUCUUAUCAGUACAUUUUUGAAACAAUAGUAUAUACCUCCAUUGGUCCUUAAGUAAUCACUAGGUUAUUGGCUAAAAGUCUUGUACUAGAGAGCCUGCUGCUACAUUUGAGGUACUGUCACCUAAGGAACUGUUUCUAGUAAUAUUUUUCUGGAUAAACAAAAUUAUCACACAGGACGGUAGACCUACAUUUUACAAAGUACGUAAAUGGCCAAAAUCUGAAGAAUUGCAUUCAGCUAAGCAAAAUAUUCUUCAGAAAAUAACUGGAAUAUGUAAAAAUUUGUUGCUUGUUUUAUAGUUAUUUAUAUUUGUUUUUAUCUUUAUAAUACAAAACAAAACAUGUUUUAUCCUUGUAUUCUUUUGCUAUCAAACAUGUAUUUUUAUGUGGUAUUGUUCAUUAUGUGCAAUAAAUUUU